rnacentral:SRP_RNA from 1 species
CCGUACUAGAUGGGGAACUAGCGGUUCCUUGUAACCUGCAAUCCGCUGUAGCAGGAUCGAAUACCUACACUGAGGUGCCAAUUUGUCGAGUUUGCCGCAGGAAAGUGGCGUUGACGAUUGGGUCUUGCGCAACGAAAGCUCUUGAACCGUGUCAGGUCUGGAAGGAAGCAGCACUAAGGGAUGUCUCUUCGUGUGCCGCAAGGUAGCCUGGUUUGAGCUAACUACUUGUGUACCAUCGGGAGGUUGUCUUCGAAGGUAGGGUGCGG